AACGAACGCUGGCGGCAUGCCUAACACAUGCAAGUCGAACGAGACCUUCGGGUUUAGUGGCGCACGGGUGCGUAACGCGUGGGAAUCUGCCCUUCGGUUGGGAAUAACUGAGAGAAAUUUCAGCUAAUACCUUAUAAUGUCUUCGGACCAAAGAUUUAUCGCCGAGGGAUGAGCCCGCGUAGGAUUAGGUAGUUGGUGGGGUAAUGGCCUACCAAGCCGACGAUCCUUAGCUGGUCUGAGAGGAUGAUCAGCCACACUGGGACUGAGACACGGCCCAGACUCCUACGGGAGGCAGCAGUGGGGGAUAUUGGACAAUGGGCGAAGGCCUGAUCCAGCAAUGCCGCGUGAGUGAUGAAGGCCUUAGGGUUGUAAAGCUCUUUUACCCGGGAUGAUAAUGACAGUACCGGGAGAAUAAGCUCCGGCUAACUCCGUG
rnacentral:rRNA from 1 species